CUGUCCUUUGCUCACUGGUUCUGCACUUUCUCCACUUCUCUCUCUCUCUCUCUCUCUCUCUCUCUCUCUCUCGCUCGCUCGCUCUGUUUCUCUCUGUGUGUAAGCUGGGGGUUCCAUGGAGGUAAGCUUUUUGCUUUUUUUUUUCCUCCUCUUCUCCGUGAGUUUAUCAGUUUCUAUCUCGCUUGAAACUCUAAUCGUCUGUAGUUGACCUUCGUGUUAUAUUUUUAAUUGGGUUUUCCUUUGAAACAUUAUUCGUUCGCUUAAUUUUUAUUUUGGCAAAAUACAUUGAAUUUGUUUCUUCUUUCUGUUAAAUGAAUGAAACACUUGAAGGUUGAUUUUUUUUUUUGAAUUGCUUUGUGUUUUUAGAAAUCAAGAAAUUCAAGUUGUUAUGAAAUUGAGCUGAUUUUGAAAAGGAAUUGAUUCAUUGAAGAGUUGUGGGUGUGUUUUUGAGUUUUCCUAUAGAUUUCUCACUAGUAGAUGAUUAUGGACCCCCGCUUAAGAGGUUUUUCGAGUUCAUUGAAUGGAGUCCAAUUGGGAAAUCGAUCUUUACCUGUUCUUUCCAAUCAGAGCUGUGUUUCUGGACAAAAAUUUGAAAAUAGUUUUGUAGAUCAUAAAUCUAUGGAGUUCCCUUACCUUCCAACUGAUCCAAAGCCCAAUAAUGUAACCCCAAUUUCUAAUGCCCUUCAUGAAGAAGAUUCCCCAGAAGAUUGUGACUUUUCAGAUACAGUUUUGAGAUACAUAAGCCAGAUGCUUAUGGAAGAAGAUAUGGAGGAUAAGACUUGUAUGCUUCAAGGUUCCUUAGAUCUUCAAGCCGCUGAGAAGUCAUUUUAUGAGGUUCUAGGCAAGAAGUACCCUCCUUCACCAGAGCCAAACCACGCUUCUACCAGUCAAAAUAGUGAGAACCCAUAUUAUAGUUUCACCAGAAACUGCAAUGAUGAUAACAAUGGUGUUAGUCAUUUAGAUGAUACCACGUGUAUUCAGAAUCUGAGUUAUUACAAUUCCUUUCGGCCACAAACUCUCCGAGUUUCUACCAUAUCUCAAUCAUCUUAUAGCUCUUCAAAUAGUGUAAUCACUAGCAUUGAUGGGCUAGUGGACUCUCCAAGCAGUAUUUUUCAAAUCUCUGAUUGGAGUAAUGAGAGCCAAUCCAUUUCGCAGUUUAUGAAGGGGGUUGAGGAGGCUAGCAAAUUUCUUCCCAAUGGUGAUGACCUUUUUCGUAAUAUUGAGGUCAAUAGGUUCUUAUCUAGGGAGCCAAAGGUAAGGAUUAGUGAGGUUACAGUCAAGGAAGAGAGAAAGGAUGGAGGAGAGUACUCACCUUGUGGGCCAAGAGGAAGGAAGAGCAUACAUAGGGAAGAUGCAGAUAUAGAAGAAGGAAGGAGUAGCAAGCAACCAGCUAUAUAUGCUGAUUCUGACAUGGAACCACACGUGUUUGAUAGAUUGUUGCUUUAUAGUGCUGGAGAAGGCUUGAAAGAUCUCAAGGAUCUCUGUGAGGCAUUGAGGAAUACAGCCAUAAAAAAUGACCAGAAUCACAAUGUGCAAACGAAGAGAUCCAGUGGUGGAAAGGUUCAACGCAAGAAACACAAUGGGAAAAAGGACGUGGUGGAUUUGAGAACCCUUUUGAUUAAUUGUGCACAAGCUGUGGCAGCUGAUGAUCGUUUGAGUGCAAACGAACUGCUAAAGCAGGUUAGGCGGCAUUCAUCGCCAUUUGGGGAUGGGAAUCAGAGGUUGGCUCAUUGCUUCGCUGAUAGUCUUGAGUCACGCAUGGCGGGUACUGGUAGUCAGAUUUACAAAGGCCUUGUUAGCAGGAGAACAUCUGCUGCUAAUAUCUUGAAAGCUUACCAUCUCUAUCUGGCUGCAUGCCCUUUCUUAAAGCUCUCCAAUUUUGUCUCUAACAAGACAAUAAAGAAUCUCUCUGCAAAUUCAAAGAGGCUUCAUAUAAUAGAUUUCGGUAUCCUUUAUGGUUUCCAGUGGCCUACCCUUAUCCAGAGGCUUUCCUGGAGACCAGGUGGUCCACCAAAUGUUCGCAUUACUGGAAUAGAUUUUCCCCAACCUGGUUUUCGGCCAGCAGAGAGAGUUGAGGAAACGGGUUGUCGCUUAGCAACUUAUGCUAAGAAGUUCAAUGUGCCAUUUGAGUACAAUGCCAUAGCAAAAAAAUGGGAAACCAUAAAACUUGAGGAACUCAAAAUUGACAGGGAAGAAGUCAUCAUUGUUACCUGUUUUUAUCGGGCUAGGAACUUGCUUGAUGAAACAGUAGCAGUGGACAGUCAGAAAGACAUUGUUCUUAAUUUAGUGAGAAAGAUUAAUCCUGAUUUUUUCAUUCAUGCAAUUAUCAAUGGGGCCUAUAAUGCCCCAUUCUUUGUCACACGGUUCAAAGAGGCUCUAUUUCACUUCUCCUCAUUGUUUGAUAUGCUCGACACUAUUGUGCCUCGUGACUAUCAGGAAAGGAUGCUGAUUGAAAAGGAGAUCUUUGGCAGAGAAGCCUUAAAUGUUGUGGCUUGUGAGGGCUGGGAGAGAGUGGAGAGACCAGAAACUUACAAGCAGUGGCAGGUCCGAACCUUAAGGGCUGGGUUUGUGCAGUUAUCUUUUGGCAGAGAGAUAGUAAAGUGCGCAACUGAUAAAGUGAGAAAACUUUACCACAAAGAUUUCCUAAUUGAUGAGGAUGGUCGGUGGCUAUUGCAAGGAUGGAAGGGACGAAUUAUUUAUUCCCUUUCUAUUUGGAGACCUACAUAGGAAUCUUGAACACCUACUUAUCUGUGCUUGCAUUUUUCGUCAUGCCUAUAAAAUGUUCUGAAAUAGACAAUUUAUAGUCCAAGGUGUUGCUAUGAUCCCAUUUUACCUUUCUAUUUCUAUGCAUAGUGUUACAUUCAUUGUACAAGUGAUUAUAAGUGAUAUAUCCACUGACCUGACAGGCAAAUCUAGUAGGUGAUUCUAAUUUUCAAUUGGCACAUAGACAAAUGAAGAUUAACCAGUUCACAUGUUGAAGAAUCCCAAAAUGAGGCCUGCAUAUUUAUCAGAUAUGUUUGUAUUUUCGCUGAGGUACUCUAUCGUGAUGCACAAAUCAGCAAACUUGAAGUUCUGGAUUGAAUCUUUGAUGAAGCUCUCACAGUGCAACAGAAACUUUGGCAAGGAUUCAAGUCCAUGAAAGUAGAACAGGCGCCCCUUGGCAGGCCUGCUCUGCAGCUCAGGUUUGGGCCCCAAAACACGUAGCAGGCCGAGUUGUCCGCAAACCUAGGCCUAGUAAGGAGAAAGCCAGCUUGAUGAUGGGACUUGAAGAGGAACAGUAAGCCCAGUUCUUUCGUAGCCCUAUUUGCACGCGCACUGAAAAAAAUUAAUGUAACACCCCUUACCUUAUCAAAGUGUAGAUAGAGUAAGGAUUGUCACAAAUUAUAUCUUAUUAGACAUAUCAAGACUAAACAAUUACUUUUAUCUGUAAAUAUCAAGUUUUAGGUAAUGCAUAUAAAUUUCAUCAAGUGAUUAAAAUAAA